rnacentral:rRNA from 1 species
UACGUAGGUCCCAAGCGUUAUCCGGAUUUAUUGGGUUUAAAGGGUGCGUAGGCGGUCGGGUAAGUCUGGUGUGAAAUCUUCGAGCUUAACUCGGAAACUGCAUUGGAUACUAUUCGGCUGGAGAGUUGGAGGGGGGACUGGAAUACUUGGUGUAGCAGUGAAAUGCGUAGAUAUCAAGUGGAACACCAGUGGCGAAGGCGAGUCCCUGGACAACUUCUGACGCUGAGGCACGAAAGCUAGGGGAGCAAACAGG